GACGAACGCUGGCGGCGUGCUUAAACACAUGCAAGUCGAGCGGUAAGGCCCUUUCGGGGGUACACGAGCGGCGAACGGGUGAGUAACACGUGGGUGACCUGCCUUUAGCUCUGGGAUAAGCCUGGGAAACUGGGUCUAAUACCGGAUAUGACCCUAUGGCGCAUGUUGUGGGGUGGAAAGCCUUGUGCGGCUAGGGAUGGGCCCGCGGCCUAUCAGCUUGUUGGUGGGGUGAUGGCCUACCAAGGCGACGACGGGUAGCCGGCCUGAGAGGGCGACCGGCCACACUGGGACUGAGACACGGCCCAGACUCCUACGGGAGGCAGCAGUGGGGAAUCUUGCGCAAUGGGCGAAAGCCUGACGCAGCGACGCCGCGUGGAGGAGU
rnacentral:rRNA from 1 species